rnacentral:rRNA from 1 species
GUGGGGAAUUUUGGACAAUGGGCGCAAGCCUGAUCAGCAAUGCCGCGUGCAGGAAGAAGGCCUUCGGGUUGUAAACUGCUUUUGUACGGAACGAAACGGUCCGGGUUAAUACCCUGGGCUAAUGACGGUACCGUAAGAAUAAGCACCGGCUAACUACGUGCCAGCAGCCGCGGUAAUACGUAGGGUGCAAGCGUUAAUCGGAAUUACUGGGCGUAAAGCGUGCGUAGGCGGUUUUGUAAGACAGGCGUGAAAUCCCCGGGCUCAACCUGGGAAUUGCACUUGUGACUGCAAGGCUGGAGUGCGGCAGAGGGGGAUGGAAUUCCGCGUGUAGCAGUGAAAUGCGUAGAUAUGCGGAGGAACACCGAUGGCGAAGGCAAUCCCCUGGGCCUGCACUGACGCUCAUGCACGAAAGCGUGGGGAGCAAACAGGAUUAGAAACCCUGGUAGUCC